rnacentral:rRNA from 1 species
UAAUACGAAGGUGGCAAGCGUUGUUCGGAUUCACUGGGCGUACAGGGUGUGUAGGCGGUUUGGUAAGCCUUCUGUUAAAGCUUCGGGCCCAACCCGGAAAGCGCAGAGGGUACUGCCAGGCUAGAGGGUGGGAGAGGAGCGCGGAAUUCCCGGUGUAGCGGUGAAAUGCGUAGAGAUCGGGAGGAAGGCCGGUGGCGAAGGCGGCGCUCUGGAACAUACCUGACGCUGAGACACGAAAGCGUGGGGAGCAAACAGGAUUAGAUACCCUGGUAGUCCACGCCCUAAACUAUGGAUACUAAGUGUCGGCGGGUUACCGCCGGUGCCGCAGCUAACGCAUUAAGUAUCCCGCCUGGGAAGUACGGCCGCAAGGUUGAAACUUAAAGGAAUUGACGG